AUUUUUUUCUCUCUCUCUUCUCAUCAUCUUCAUCUUCAUCCAUCUCUCCCAUUCCCGUCAAAGCAGAUACCAUCAACAGAGGUCCACUGUAGAUCGACAAAAGGCUGGGUAUUGCCUGGUCAAAGGCGUUGGCUUUGAGUGGAUCUGGGCGACGAUGGGCCAAUGACGCGAGGUUGAGGCUAGUAAGUGGAUUGGUGCAUAACUAUAAACUUGGUCGGCUUUGUCGUCGACGGCAACAGGAUGGGGUCAAGGGUGUGUGGGCGCCUUCAAGAGCAGCUUGGCAUCAUCGUAGAUCCAAUAUUGGGUUUUCUAAUGUUCACAAGCUUCUAAGUUUAGUAAAAUCCUCUUCGAUUACAUUUUGGGCACUGUAGAUUCAUUGAUCUUGAAUAUAGAAAAAGAUGCAUUUGCUUUCAAAUAAGUGGUGAAUCAGUUGAUGAAUCCAUCAAGAAGAUGAGGAUGGUGAGAAGAGAAAGAGAAGAAAGAAGAAGAAUGAAGACGAAGAAGAAGACAAAGAUGAUGACGUUGAAGAGAGAGUGAGGAAAAAUAAUUUAAUAUUAAAUUUAAUUAAACUUUUGUUUUUAUUUAGUUUAUAUUUUAAAAUAUAUUAAAAAAUAUUUUUAAUUAUUAAUUAUUUUAAGUCAAUGGUAUUUUUGUCAUUUUAAAAAAUUGAUUGAUGGAAACUGGGAUUAAUUUGUUCAAGUUUACAAAACUAUCCAUUUUUAAAAAUUUCUUAGAGGUUUGGAAUAGAUGGAAUUUUUGUAGGACCUUUUUUUGUUGAUGGGGUUUAUCACGACUUUAGCUACUCUAGCGGUUUGGUCUGUUGCUCGAGAGUGCUAAUUAUUCUAUUUUUUGAUGUUAGCAAUGUAUAGCGGUCAAAUAAGACUAUUUUUUUCUCGAAGACUUUUUAUUUUUUUUUUCUUCACGUGGGAAUUAGAAUUAAUUUCAAUUUAUCUACUUCUAUAUACGUGGGGAAGAAAAAAAUGUUUGUAUUCAGCUACAAAAUUUAUUUUGUAUACAGCAAGAAAUUCCACUUUUUUAUUAA